GUUGAACGCUGGCGGCAUGCCUUACACAUGCAAGUCGAACGGCAGCACGGGUGCUUGCACCUGGUGGCGAGUGGCGAAUGGGUGAGUAAUACAUCGGAACAUGUCCUGUAGUGGGGGAUAGCCCGGCGAAAGCCGGAUUAAUACCGCAUACGAUCUACGGAUGAAAGCGGGGGACCUUCGGGCCUCGCGCUAUAGGGUUGGCCGAUGGCUGAUUAGCUAGUUGGUGGGGUAAAGGCCUACCAAGGCGACGAUCAGUAGCUGGUCUGAGAGGACGACCAGCCACACUGGGACUGAGACACGGCCCAGACUCCUACGGGAGGCAGCAGUGGGGAAUUUUGGACAAUGGGCGAAAGCCUGAUCCAGCAAUGCCGCGUGUGUGAAGAAGGCCUUCGGGUUGUAAAGCACUUUUGUCCGGAAAGAAAUCCUUGGCCCUAAUACGGUCGGGGGAUGACGGUACCGGAAGAAUAAGCACCGGCUAACUACGUG
rnacentral:rRNA from 1 species